AGCUAUAGGGCGGGACAAAAUAGAGUCGAUGUCCACCUAUUCGGUGGGUGACUAGUACAGAAAAAUAUAUACCCAUUUCGUGUGGACUAACGUGAGUUUUUGAGUAAGGCCUGCGCUUUACAGGGUUAAAAGAAACAGCCGCUGAUCUGCCUAGAUUUCGAAAACUUUCCAGAGUUCGCCAUUGGGUAAAUUUGGCAACCUGGCGCGGCAAGUUCAACAGCAGCAACUCCCGUAACCCAGUUACACGGUGAUGCUACAUCAGGUAGUACACCCUGGUAUGCUAGAGGCCUGACCUCCACCGCACUGGAACAGAGAUCUUGUAAGGACUGCUAGACCCCGAAAGAAGCAGCAACCCACAAGUAAAUUAAGUAGGGCUGCAGUAAUAGAUUAUGUGAGUAAUCAAGAAUUCUAUCGAUUACUCGCUUAAUUGAGUAAUCAGAUAAGAAGUGCUUUUGCUUUAUUAAAGAUCGAUAGUACGUAUACAAAAGAGAAUAUAUAAAGGUCUCUUAAAAUGAACAACUAAUUGGUUUCUAUUUAAGAAAAAUCAACAUUUUGUAUAUCUUAAAUUGCAUACGAUAUCUGUCAAAAAUAAAGAUAAUUUGGUGUAUUAAAGUCCCAUUUUACAUUCUGGGUUUUA
ensembl:lncRNA